UGAAAAUUAGCUUCUCCAUUUCUUUGGCACUUGCUGAAUUGCUGAAUUUUAUCAAUUUCUAGGAUCGGCAGUUUUGGACCGUCCACCCGGGAUUGAGUAACUCGGCCAUGGCCUAGUGGGAAGGCAAGUUGGGUGUCCAACUCGCCCAACCCAAAAAACCAGCACAACACAUACAUGCAUGCACGCACACACACAUAUGUAGAGUACACAAUAUUAGAAAAUAU
rnacentral:lncRNA from 1 species